rnacentral:rRNA from 1 species
CAGUCGCCGCGGUAAUACGAAGGGUGCAAGCGUUACUCGGAAUUACUGGGCGUAAAGCGUGCGUAGGUGGUGGUUUAAGUCCGUUGUGAAAGCCCUGGGCUCAACCUGGGAAUUGCAGUGGAUACUGGAUCACUAGAGUGUGGUAGAGGAUAGUGGAAUUUCCGGUGUAGCAGUGAAAUGCGUAGAGAUCGGAAGGAACAUCUGUGGCGAAGGCGACUAUCUGGGCCAACACUGACACUGAGGCACGAAAGCGUGGUGAGCAAACAGGAUUAGAUACCCCUAUAGUCCCUGUCUCUUAUAA